AAGGGUAUAGCUCAGUGGUAGAGCGCAUGCUUAGCAUGAACGGAGCCCUGGGUUUAAUCCCCAGUACCUUCA
rfam:Camelus ferus unplaced genomic scaffold scaffold850, whole genome shotgun sequence.